GAUGAACGCUGGCGGCGUGCCUAAUACAUGCAAGUCGAGCGAAUGGAUUAAGAGCUUGCUCUUAUGAAGUUAGCGGCGGACGGGUGAGUAACACGUGGGUAACCUGCCCAUAAGACUGGGAUAACUCCGGGAAACCGGGGCUAAUACCGGAUAACAUUUUGAACCGCAUGGUUCGAAAUUGAAAGGCGGCUUCGGCUGUCACUUAUGGAUGGACCCGCGUCGCAUUAGCUAGUUGGUGAGGUAACGGCUCACCAAGGCAACGAUGCGUAGCCGACCUGGGAGGGUAGUCGGCCAAACUGGGACUGAGACACGGCCCAGACUCCUACGGGAGGCAGCAGUAGGGAAUCUUCCGCAAUGGACGAAAGUCUGACGGAGCAGCGCCGCGUGAGUGAUGAAGGCUUUCGGGUCGUAAAACUCUGUUGUUAGGGAAGAACAAGUGCUAGUUGAAUAAGCUGGCACCUUGACGGUACCUAACCAGAAAGCCACGGCUAACUACGUGCCAGCCGCCGCCGUAA
rnacentral:rRNA from 1 species